GUUUUGAUGCUGCUCUCUUUCUAAUUUUAAUUGUAUUCAUUCCUGAUUUAUUUUAUACAAUUGUACCAAUCUUUUUAUUUUUAAAAAUCCUGUAUUUUAGUACAGGUUACAAUACCGUAAGCAAUGCUUGGAAUCAUGUUGCCCUGUGACGGUAAAUUCUCAGGGUCGUAGGAAACCAUAAAAGACAAGUGUUACAAACUGCCAUUUGUAACUGUUAUUUUAU